CCACUACUCGUGGAUGAGUAGGGAAUCAAACCCAGUUCUCCAGAUUAGAAUCCACCUGCUCUUAACCACUACAUCACACAGGAGGAGGAAGAGGAGGAUUUUAACACACUGAGGCAGAGUAGAUGCUCCUCUAUGAGAAGUCAUGUUUGGUGUUUACCUUGGCAUGCAACUUGCAAGGCAUAUUCCAGCUUAUGAGUGCUUCCUAUAACUAGAAGGCAGGGCUUCUAAUACUUUGAAGAUAACAUUUUUAUCAAGGGCAUCUUUUCAGGAUUGCAACACAUGUCCCAGAACAAGUGGUCCUGUCUGGAAUUCUCUGAUCCUCACCACUGAGAUCCUCUCACCACCAUCCUCGUAACUAAACUAAGUCUUGUCUUCUUGUUUCUGAGUCUAUUGUAUCAAGGCAUUUGGAGAUUGUAAAUAUAUAUAUAGUGUUUUGGUUGUUGUCUUUUUUCCCCCUGUGAUGUGAAAGACCCCCUUCAAAGAAGGCUUUAACUGUCAGUGAUGUAAAUAAAAAUACCUAAGAG